rnacentral:lncRNA from 1 species
AACUUGGCAUUAAGCAUUAUUUUCAAAAUAGAACGCACCUAUUUUAAAAAUGGGACAAAGAGUAAAUAAAACUGACAGUAUGCAGGGACGUAUCAAGCCUCUAAUAAAUAAGGUGGCCCAGCUACUGCAACAACAUGUCCAAGGGUGGCAUUUAGUAUAGUAUAGUAUAGUAUAGUAUGUCUAGUAAAGUACAGUGUAGUAUACUAUAGUUCAAUUUGGUAUAGUAAAGUAUAGUAUAAUAUAGUAAAAUAUGGUAUAGUAUAGUAUAGUAUAGUAAAGUUCAAUUUGGUAUAGUAUAGUAUAGUAUAAUAUAGUAAAACAUGGUAUAGUUUAGUAUAGUAAAGUUCAAUUUGGUAUAGCAUAUUAUAGUAUAAUAUAGUAAAAAUGGUAUACUAUAGUAUAGUACAGUAUAGUAUAGUAUAGUAUCAUAUAGUGAAAUAUGGUAUAGUAUAGUAUAAUAUACUAUAGUAUAGUUCAAUUUGAUUUAGUAUAGUAUAAUAUAGCAAAAUGUGGUAUAGUAUAGUAUAGUAUAGUUCAAUUUUGUAUAGUAUAGCAAAGUAUAGUAUACUAUAGUAGUGUAUACUACAAUAUGGUAUAAUAUAGAAUGGUACAGUGUAGUUUAGAACAAAUAGUAUAGCAUAUAAUAGAAUAGUAUGGUAUAGUACAGUGUAUAUAUACUGUAUAUACUAUAUACAGUAUAUAUACAGUGGUAUAGUGGAGUACAAUAUCGAGUAUUACAGUACAGUUGUUUUGCCCUGCAGUCAAGUUUCUGAGUGUGAGUUUUGUCCUGUUAGACUUACUGUAGUUGAAAAGUGAAUUGCACAGAGCCAUGUCAAAAGUUCUCUAGAGUUAAUUCAUCCUGCAAGAUGUUAUUAGGCUGUUUAAGGACAUCUGUCUAUAAAUAUUACAUUGUCAUAAGAUGUUACUAAAUUUUAGAAGCUAACAUGAAGCUCCUUAAAUUGUUUAAUAUCUAAAAAGCUGGAUAAAAAUAGGACGCUAAUAGCGCUAGCAUCCCUAUGGGUUUUUCAGUGUAAAUUAGCGUCACGCUAAUCGCUAGUGAUUCAUGUGUUUAUUUAUUUAAUAUGACUGCUGGAUUUACAGUGUUUGUGUGACACUUAUUAAGAGUUACAGCUUUGGUUGUUAUAUGCACCUUUUUGUGUGUUACAGUUUUACAAGCAUUCAAUCCAAUAAAAGGUCAAAACGGCAAGAAGCUUCCUGGUGUUUACUGGAGCAACUGUUAGCUAUCAGUACAGCUAGUUCAAUACACGAGAGAAGGCAGAAUAACAGUAUAGUAUAGUAUGGUAUAGUGUAGUAACACACAGUAUAGUAUGGUAUAGUACAGUACAGUAAUUACAAUAGAACAUAUAAUAGUGUAGUAUCGUACAGUGUUUUCCUUUGUUACAUUGGUGUGAAUUGCCCAACACUGAGGUCUAAAAAGCAGGUAUUUGAUACUAAAUGAGCAUUAAUCACUGUUUUAAACUUCCAGCUCAGUUGAUGCUGAAUUACUGCAUCUGUUUACUGCGCUGAUUAAAACAAUUAACAUCCUGAGGCCUUUUUCUCUAUAAACUAUAAUUAUAAAUUAAGAAAUAUGGUCAUACCCCUAAAAGGAAUAAUGUAAAGUGACUAUGAAUUUGUCAUAAUUCUGCUAAUGAUUAAUUGAAUUUUCAUUGUAUCCUUAAAUACCCUAAAUAUAAUCUAAACUAAUGAGGUGAAUAUUCCUGUAGUUGUAUUCUCAGAGUGUUUCUCAUCCCUUUUUAAGCAACAUUAUUACCUGUUAGCUGCACCAUCACUAAUUAUGUGGCUGGAGCUUUUACUCUUUCACAGUCUCCUGAUUGAGACAAACAGGUUAUUAAAUGCAGAGAUGGUUAGCACUGCAUCACAAUAGACUUGGACAGUGUAGAUUUUUUUUUUUCUAUUCUGCUAUACGAAUUUAAAAAUAUGAUCCCAUGUGGUAUACAGCUCUCUGCAUGAACAAAUAGUGUUUUUCUCCUCUUUUUACCCUCAGACUGCAGCUGACCCUGGAGCUGUGUCAGGCUGUAUAUACCGCAAAGAAGUCAAAGAAGGUCACCACAGCAUUGAAACAAGAUUUACAAGACACAUUUGAUCCAUGGAGCCAGUCACCUCUAUGAGGAAGUGCAACAUUGUACUUCUGAAAAUAGGAGUCAAAAUCCCAGAGCGGAGAAGCUUGUCAAAGUGAAAGCCAAGAAACAGGAAUUGGCAGCAUCUGUUCUUGGCUGAAUGUGAGGCCACAAAUGCCAUAAACACUCCUCAUGUUGUAUACGUCCUGGAUGAAAACCCACUCGGUAUUUUACAGGUCAAAACAAGACAUUUUAAUCAGCAUUAGGAGAUUUAGGAGAAGGGAAAAUCAAACAUUAAUCUAACUCAAUUCAAUUUUGCACGAUCGUCCAUUUCCAGCAGAUUUAAUUGUUUGUUUUUUUGUGGAUUUUCUUCAUUAAACUGUAAAUCAUAAAGGUCAGAUUGUGGUGUUUUGCUUGACAGUGAAGCUUGAGAUGCAGACACGUGAAAAAAAAUGCACAUCAAAUGUCAGACAUAAGUGUGCACUCGUGCCAUGUGCAUAUUAUUCAGCCAUGUACUUCUGCAGGAGAUGACGUUUGACCUCUUUGAUGUGGCUGCAAUGACGUCCUCAUUAUUUUUCAUACAAAAAGGGAACAGAUCAAAAAGUGGAGAGGAGAGAGGAGGAUUGUAAAGACACAUGAGACUGAGUAAUAACCUUGCCAAUGGCAUUCAUUGUCUGGAUGUGUGUGUGUGUGCGUGUGCAUUGAAUAUAUGUUUGUGUGUGUGUCAGGGUCGGCGCAUUGAUGGUGUGGGCAGGGACUGGCUAACCGAGAGGCCUUGUAGACUUUUGUGGCCAUGUGGCCUCAUGCAGACACGCACACACACUCGCACAAGGGCAUCAAAGCUUGUACACACUCGAUGGACAGCUCCAUGUGGAGAGGAGCUGCAACCCUCUCAGCAGGGGGUCUGGCCUGCUGCCUUCACAUCACUUAGCAAACUGCUUGAUUGUGAACUCGUUGGUAAUAGUAAUUAAAUUUGUGGAGGGUGUGGGAGGAAAACGAGCGGUAAUUUAGAGGAAAUUCCAGCCGUAAAUAUGCCAGUGAGUGAGCAUGUGCAGUCUGCAUUAAAAAAACAUCAAAGCAAACUCAAAAAAAAGGGAAAAUCUUUUGGAGAAAAUCCUCAUUGUGCAAAAAAAGGGAAAAUAAACUCAAAGAAAAAUCAUUUAAAAAAUAAUGUGGGGGAGAAAAAUCAGGCUUCACUUUUCGUGCUGCUGCUUCUGCUGCUGUAUAAAUAUUCCUCGCCACACAGCAGCCAAUAUUGAAAAUGUAAGAUAAUAAUUUCAUUAUUUCCACAUCACAAUUUCAUAGACUUGAAGUAAGUAGAAGGCACUAUAUGGCUGUAAAUAUUACAUGAGCCAGGUCAUUGAGAAAGUAAUUGGCUUUUAGAGUUGGCUGAUACUGCUCCACUGUCUGGGCGAAGAUUUAUAAUGUUGACUUACAGUACAAGACAGAGAGGGUAAUCACGGAGACAGUUUAUCCUAAAGCUCCAUCUGUCUCUCACCCUCCGACACUGGGCGAGGAGUACAAUUGUUUUAGGGCAAAACAGGUGUCGACCUAAAUCAACCUGGACCGCUUCACGGAUAAAAACGGACGGACGGAUGAUGAGGAGUACGAAAAAAAAGAAAAAACAUGGAAGUUUUAAUGUAUUGAAAUUGGAUCCGGGGAGGAUCUCAUACUUCAUUCCCAAUGCAUGUUGCUGCACUUCCUCCUCAUCCUUUUCCAAUCCAUCUUCCUCUCUCCAGGUUUUAGCUGAAAUUAAAUUGAUUUGCAUAAUGAAAGUAGAUCAAAUUUACUGUCCAGAAGUAAAAUGGGAAUAAAGGAAGGACUUUUCCUCUGAGGGGCUGAUGGGGUAUGAGCCGCAAGAGGAAGGAGAGAGGUAAAAAGACAGAAACAAUAAAACGCAAUUAUACAGCUUCAAUAAAGUCUUAAUUCCAGCGCGAACAAAAAUACCCAGAUAGGCGGUUCACAUCAUUUUAUUCCACAAAGCUAUAAAGGCUCAUCUAAAGUCGCAGUGAGCCUCACAACGCCACAAAUUGGCUAAUCCCUGAUGUAAAAUACUAAAAAAAAAAAGAAAGAAGGAGGGAAAAUUACAACGUCCCCUACCCAAGUGACAGCCUCCACUUUUAAGGUGUUAUUACUAAUUACAUUUCUAUUAUGAUGGUAAUGCUUGGCAACCUUCAACAAAGAAUCUCAUCCAAUUAUUCUCUAAUUUGUCAUAUUUCUGUUCUGGGUACCAUUCUUGGGUUUGGGAUCGCUUUGAGUCUGGGAGAUGUUGACAGAAAUAUGACAAAUCUGGGAAAUAAAACCCGAAUAAUGUCUAUUAGCAGUUUUAGAGAAAUUCUAUUAGUUUUCAUGUUCAUUUUUCUGUGAAGAUUGUCGACCAGGAAACAUGUGAAGCUCUACUACAAUUGAACUCUUGUUAGCCUUGAUGCACGGAUCAUGCGCUACGUAAACACUCAGACCUUCAUCCACUCCAAUUCAGACAAAGAAGACGGCAUCUCAGAGGAUUGAUAUCUGGAGACCUGCUGCAGUUCCUCUCUAUCAGAGCUUCUCCCCUUCUGCCGCUGUGCGGUUAAUAAUAUAUGAAGGCUAAGUCUUUAUGUCGGCUUCCUCUCUUCAUCGCUGAAAUGUCAGGAAGAAGGUGGAAAAGGGGAAACAAAGCUUGAAGCAUAGCAUACUAUUUCAAACAGCUAUAGGAGCAUCACUCUUGUCUACAAAUAAGAAAACACACACGCGCUCAUAUUUUUCCUUUGUAUAAAGAUAAAACUUGAGGUCUUUGGUGAAAGACAGGGCAAAGGGAAGAGCUGAACACCGAAGAUAGAGCAGGGAACGAGAUGCAGCAAUGGGCCAAGGUUGGGAAUCAAACUCAGGGCUGCCACAAGGAGGACUUCACUCGAGGGGCUCGAUUCAACCUUCACGCUGACGCUCUGACUGCACAUUAUUCUGAAUUUGUCUUUAGGGCCUGAAGACUUCUUUUUAAAAUAGUUGUAUGUCUUUAUUAGGAGAGAUUCAUGACAAAACUAGAAAGAAUCCACAUUAGUUAAAGUAAAAGUUUAGUAUCAAAAAGAUUUAAAGGAAAAACUUAAUGAGUGGUGUCAAAGUUUGAUGGAACUUUUACUCAAAUCCCAUCACUCGUGAAAUAUAUUCUUACACAUGUGACAAACUCCCUCAAAGUCACCAACUUUGUACCUACUGGUCAUAAAAAACAUGUUUGAAUAUGACGUAACACCUCACCUCAGGCUGACAUGUAUUUAAUUCCCGAUUUAAGGCUUAGAAAAUUGAAGUCACAAUAGAAGUUAAAUUGGCUGCUAAAAAAAGGGUCGGUUUUGUAAGCUGUCCCAUGCCAUGCAAAUUAAAAGUCCCAAGACCAUCAUUCACUAGUCUGCCGAGCUACAAACUCCACUCUUCCUCAGCCAAGGUGACACCAAAGGAAGAACCAGGCACUAUUCAUGGAUUUCACCAAUAAAAAAUCCAAGCAAUCUUGUCAAGCUGGUUGACCAUGCAAUGGAAAUGAGGCAGUAGUAAGAAUCUGGUUAAGAAAAUGGAUUGCCAGGCCUUUAAAUAAACUAUGUCCACUAUAUUUCCAUGUUGCCUGAUUUUUAAUUUUAAAUUCCACAGGAGAAAAUAAUUUCAACUUCCCAAAGAGUGCAGAAACUUCUCUGUAUGGUUGGCACCUAGUUCAUGCCUCCUAUUGUAAGGGGAUUUGACAAAUUCUUCAUCUUACAGUAUAACACUAUUAACAAUACUACUAAUAUAUCAAUAAACAAAGACUACCGAUGUCAAGCCACGCACACAAAAAAUAACCAUUCAUCAGCAAUAAUUUUGCCCAAGGAAACACAAGCCAGCAAAGUCAAGCACCAGAAAAUUAUAUUUUUGCAUCCAACAAUGAACUAAGUCGAUACUUUAAGCCACUGAGAUUCUUGACCCAGAGUAACCUGGUUGGCGCGCCACACUACUGGUUGCUUACACUACAGUGAGUUUUGAUGAUCAGAAAAAGUUUAGACGCUGUUUCUCUGAUGCAGCAAACAAAAAAUUUUGUGAUGGACAUAACCAAAGUCCAUUCGCAAUUGAAAUCAAGCAACACUGAAUAAACAAAGAAAAAUGCCAGCAUUUA